CAAAAAUUAAGAUUAAACAUAUUUUUUCCUAAUAUGUUUUUCUCCAUCAAAAGUAUUAAUAUUGUCAGGAAUCAAACCACAGCAACUGAACAUUAAUAGGAAAAGAGAAAAAUGUCAGUCUUGCAGUGACUCUUCCUCUGCGGUGGAGUCACCCUUGUGGAUGAAGUCUCUGAUCCAUUUACACAUCCUCUUCCCAGUAGGUACAUUUCCCCUUCUCACUGUAUCUUCAGACCUUGGCUCUGAAGAUGGAAAUCCCAGCUUGAAUUCAACCUUCGAGGAAUGGAUUUGACCUCCUCUGAUGGGUCCAAUCCACGAAGGCUGGAAUCCAGCCAGAUUUUGCAUCCUACCAGGGAGAAACUGCUUUCACCAAGGUAAAUGGAAAUCCAGGUGAAAGUAUUUACCUGAAGUCUGUGUAAAUUCUCAGUCAUCCAGGUCAUUGUAUCCAAGGUAGUUUUCUCUGUCAACUGGACUGGGUUUCUUCUCUUGAAGACGUUUCGCCUUCUAUCCAGAAGGCUUCUUCAGUUCUGAAAUCGCUGGGGAGAGAGCUUGAGAAUAUAUAGCCCCUGGACCAUUUGCAUGCUAAUGAUCUGGGUGGUCACCUGAGAGUCGUUAGCAGGGUCGUUGGUCGGGUCGUUGACCUAGUUUCUGUUGAGAUGUCUCCCCUUUGUCUGCUGGGUCACAUGGUGAUGAGUCACUGGGUCUCUUGGAAUGGUGUGAAUGUUUGUUUUGCUGUUGGAAGGAGUGGAGGACUGCAUUGUAUGUGGGUGAUAGGAAGUGCCUCAGGCCACCACCCCUGGGGGUCAAGGAAGCUAUCCAUGUUAAAUUGGAGAAACCAUCCUUAAACAGGGGUGGUGGCCUGAGGCACUUCCUAUCACCCACAUACAAUGCAGUCCUCCACUCCUUCCAACAGCAAAACAAACAUUCACACCAUUCCAAGAGACCCAGUGACUCAUCACCAUGUGACCCAGCAGACAAAGGGGAGACAUCUCAACAGAAACUAGGUCAACGACCCGACCAACGACCCUGCUAACGACUCUCAGGUGACCACCCAGAUCAUUAGCAUGCAAAUGGUCCAGGGGCUAUAUAUUCUCAAGCUCUCUCCCCAGCGAUUUCAGAACUGAAGAAGCCUUCUGGAUAGAAGGCGAAACGUCUUCAAGAGAAGAAACCCAGUCCAGUUGACAGAGAAAACUACCUUGGAUAUUUACCUGAAGGACAGAAAGUCUGGCUUGGAUACGGUCCUUGAGGACUGGAUUUGCCCACCCCUGAUCUAGA
rnacentral:lncRNA from 1 species